CCGGCGACCGGCGGACGGGUGCGUAACGCGUAUGUAACCUACCUUUGACAGGGGGAUAACAUCGAGAAAUUGGUACUAAUACCCCAUAACAUCUCAUGCGGCAUCGCAUGGGGUUGAAAACUCCGGUGGUUGAUGAUGGGCAUGCGUUGUAUUAGCUGGUUGGUGAGGUAACGGCUCACCAAGGCGACGAUACAUAGGGGGACUGAGAGGUUAACCCCCCACAUUGGUACUGAGACACGGACCAAACUCCUACGGGAGGCAGCAG
rnacentral:rRNA from 1 species